GUCGAAGUCAUGUACGAGCACCUUCCCAGUGGUUCCCAACUGAAGAAAAUGCACACUUACAGGCGGCG
rnacentral:lncRNA from 1 species